UCCCUCAUAGCUCAGUUGGUAAAGAAUCUGCCUGCAGUACAGGAGACCUGGGUUCGAUUCCCAGAUUGGGAA
rnacentral:tRNA from 1 species